GAUAUGAGCCUUAAAAUGCCAUAGAUUAUUAUCAAAUUUAUGAAAUCAGAGAUAUGAGCCUUAAAAUGCAUCCUGCAUCAUUGUGAGCAGCAGAUUGAUAGCAAGUCAGCAACUUUUCGAAGAAGUAUCACCUGUUCUGCUGUGCAAGAAUCAUAUACCUCUACCAUUGCUGCUCAUAAGGAGGAGGUGAAGAAAGUUGAAGAGAAGGUACCAGCAAAGCCCAAACCUGCAGGAAAAGCUCCUGCCAAAGCACUCCCCCAGUUGAUGGAAGAUGUAAUCCCUUCAUUGAAAGCGACUCUUGAAUCUGAAGAAGAUAUCACUGAACUCGAAUUAUCUUUCCAAGAUAACAGAGCAAACCUUGCAAUUUCUCCGUGUUUAAUUGCUUCCCAGCAUGUGAAUAGAUUAGCCAGAGUUUUUCUCCUUGUUCUUUCCUUUUCGAAUUAAAAAUAACAGUUAGAUGGAUUCUUUAAAAAGAAAGGCAACCCCCACUGAUUUUGGGCAUUCUUCCCCAGCGGAGCCCUAACAGGUAAUUGCUCUUUCACCAGCUCUUCACCACGCCUCCUCAUCAUUAAUCCCAAUUUUAUGGGUUUAAUUAACAGGUCCAAAAGGGUUUUCUCUAUCCUCCUAUGGCUCAGGAGCAAGCGCAGUUGAACCUUUUCUGGUUGAUGAGAAGAAAAUCACGGCAAAACACGUUGUUUUCUGGGUGGAAAAGCGUUUGGCCGCUCAAUGAAUCAUUCCAGUGUGGAAAGAAUCAUAGCCAUUCAAAUUCAUUCCAAAAAUUAUAUAACCUAAUCAUCCAUCGUUUCUUUGCUCAAUGAUUAUGAUAUAACAUAAUGCUUAUUAAGGAAAAGACCUAAAAUCUUUUCGUCACAUCCUGCAUGAAUAGUGAAUUUACCAUUCUUGCAUGAUGUGCACUUGCAUGACAUUCUCCCGGGAUAUAGGUAAUAAUUUAAUUACUUCAAUAAAAUACAACAUAAGAGAUUGAUUUUUGUUUGCACGCAGAACAACCUCUAUAACAUAAAUCACAAGACUAUAUUUAAGUAGCAGACACUUUUUCUCUCGCUUUUUUUCUU